CAAAGGGGUGGAGAAAAGAAAAAGGAGAGUCGGUUUCAGAGGUCUCCCAUAUCUCUGUCUCUGUUAGACAAAUCCAAUUUCUGGCUCUCUCUCUCUCUCUCUCUCUCUCUCCCAAUCUCUAUUCAAUUAGGUUUAAAAUUUUCAAAUUCCAGUCCUAUUUCGUCUCUGUAACUCUUCCAUUAUGUUUUUUUGAUUCCAGAUCUGCGAGAUUCAAGCAGAGUAAUGAUACUUGGGCGUGGAAAUGGAGGCAAGGGUUUGGGUAAGGAAGGAGCAAAACAAAAUUGUAAAGCAUCCAAUGCAUAAAGCUGGCGACGGUUCAGUUCUCAAGGUCGGCGAGGAGAAGGAGAUCGGAAAGCAGUGCUUGAAGAAGAAUCUUCUCAAGGAAGGUGAAGGCUGGGAUAUACUCCAAAGUGCAGUGACGAGCCUCACUAUAUUUGUUUGUGCUUAUUGGUUUUUUUGGAUUGGGAUCGAUUGCGAUUAUGUUUGAAUUCAGUCCAUUACACCGGGAUUUUGCUGGAGUUCGAUUCGAGCGGCGAUAGGGGGACAUCGAUCAGUUCACUCGGACAAGGUAAGGGAACUUUUGGCCUUUCACUUGUAUUAAUGACUUGAUUAAGCUGUGAGCUGUUUCAGAAGAACGGAAAGAUAUGAAGAAGAAAGGUCUGGAAUGGAAGAGGCUGGCAAUGGAACCAGGUUUUGAAGGUUAAUUUCUUUCACUUCAAUUUCUUUUGGCUAUGAAAAGGAGAACUGAAACUUUGUUAUCCCUUGUUUGAACUUGUUCCUUUAGUUAUAUCAUUCAGCAUCAAAUUGUUAUGCGCACAAGAUGUUCGACAAAAUGAUUCUAAAUUGCUUUCUUUUGAGCUUAAGGCUUUGGGUUUAACCUACAGCAGGUUUUGGUCUUCUUUUCUUAUGCUACUAGUGAUUGAUCUUAAUUACUAGUUUCAUGGGAAUGAGUGAGACUGGAGUGUUCAGGUGGUGACUUUGACCAGGGAGGUGCAUAUUGCGUGUAAAAAUGCGGUUGAAAUGGGGUUUUUUCCGGUUAUCAGAUGGAGACCAAAGAGGCUAUUUCCGGUUACCAGAGGUAGUAUGAAAAGUACCAACUUGUGACAAUAGUCUAGACUGUGAAGUAGGGUCUUAAGUGUUUAGAUCCGGUUGUUUGUAUCGUAAAGGUUUCAGUAAUAUCUUCUCAUCCCAAGGGAUAAGUGCAAAUAGGAAUUUCAUACUUUUUAAUUACCAUA